rnacentral:rRNA from 1 species
AGUGAACGCUGGCGGUAGGCCUAACACAUGCAAGUCGAACGGCAGCACAGUAAGAGCUUGCUCUUACGGGUGGCGAGUGGCGGACGGGUGAGGAAUACAUCGGAAUCUACUUUUUCGUGGGGGAUAACGUAGGGAAACUUACGCUAAUACCGCAUACGACCUACGGGUGAAAGCAGGGGAUCUUCGGACCUUGCGCGAUUGAAUGACCCGAUGUCGGAUUAGCUAGUUGGCGGGGUAAAGGCCCACCAAGGCGACGAUCCGUAGCUGGUCUGAGAGGAUGAUCAGCCACACUGGAACUGAGACACGGUCCAGACUCCUACGGGAGGCAGCAGUGGGGAAUAUUGGACAAUGGGCGAAAGCCUGAUCCAGCCAUACCGCGUGGGUGAAGAAGGCCUUCGGGUUGUAAAGCCCUUUUGGUGGGAAAGAAAAGCAGCAGGUUAAUACCCCGCUGCUCUGACGGUACCCAAAGAAUAAGCACCGGCUAACUUCGUG